rnacentral:lncRNA from 1 species
CGCUGGGGUGUGAUUUUCAAGUGUCUCACAACACGUGCAGUACACCUUGAGCUUCUGAACUCCAUGGAUGUCGAUGCCUUCCUCCUCGCUCUGCGUCGAUUCAUCGCCCGGCGGGGUCGUCCAAAAGAAGUGCUAUCAGACUGUGGUACUAACUUUCGUGGUGCAGAGCGAGAACUUCGGGAGGCCUUCGCCACAAUGGAACCACGACUGAAAGAACAGCUGGAAGUAUAUCAGAUCGAUUUCAAGUUCAACCCACCAAAUGCUCCGCACUUUGGUGGAGCUUGGGAGAGAGAGGUGCGGUCGGUUAAAUCUGGCCUUCAAGUUGCAGUGGGCAGUCAGUCUGUCACAGAGGAUGUCCUGUAUACAGUUCUAGUGGAAGUGGAGGGGAUCUUAAACUCAAAGCCACUGGGAUACGUGUCAGCUGAUGUGGCCGAUUUGGACCCCAUUACUCCGAACAUCCUCCUAAUGGGGCGGCGGGAUGCAGCUCUGCCUCAGGUGGUCUAUGCUCCAGUUGGUAUGGGGCGGCGACGAUGGCGACAUUGCCAAGCACUGGUGGAUCAGUUCUGGCUUCACUUCACGAGGAACUACUUACCAACCCUCCAGACUCGGCAAAAGUGGCAAAGGUCAUCAAAGAACAUCACUUUGGACUCUGUCGUACUAAUCGUUGACCCAUCACUUCCAAGAGCUCACUGGUCCAUCGGGAGAGUCAUCAAGGCUGUCGCUAGCCCAGAUGGAUGUAUCAGAACAGCAGAGGUCAAGGUUAAGGAUAAAGUUUACGUAAGACCAGUUGCUCGACUUAUUAAACUUCCUGACCUUCAGGAUGACAUCAAAGACACUUGAAGAAUCCCUGGUCUUACACAUUUACAAGCAAAUGUGGGGGCGGCUGUUAAGAAUUCUUCAAGUUGUAGACUAAUGUGUACUGAUGCUUUUAUUUUGAAAUGUGCGCUCUUAUUUUGAAAGGUGUCUAUGUUGUGUUUCCCCUUUUCUCACUACGUUGGACUGUGGAAAUGUUUGCAGUGGUGCAGCAGUCACUGAUGAUGUAAGUUAUGUUCAUAGUGAUGGGAAAUGAAUAUAUACAUGUUACUUACUUCUUCUGAUAGUGUUGUUUAGUUCCUGG